UGCGCAGGUGGGCUUGUAAGUCAGUGGUGAAAUCUUGCCGCUUAACGGUAAAAUUGCCAUUGAUACUGCAAGUCUUGAGUAUGGUUGAGGUAGGUGGAAUGUGUUGUGUAGCGGUGAAAUGCAUAGAUAUGACACAGAACGCCUAUUGCGAAGGCAACUUACUAAGCCAUUACUGACGCUGAGGCACGAAAGCGUGGGGAGCGAACAGGAUUAGAUACCCUGGUAGUCC
rnacentral:rRNA from 1 species